rnacentral:rRNA from 1 species
UACGAGUGCCCCAAGCGUUAUCCGGAAUCAUUGGGCGUAAAGGGUGCGUAGGCGGGUCUUUAAGUCAGGGGUGAAAUCCUGGAGCUCAACUCCAGAACUGCCUUUGAUACUGAGGAUCUUGAGUCCGGGAGAGGUGAGUGGAACUGCGAGUGUAGAGGUGAAAUUCGUAGAUAUUCGCAAGAACACCAGUGGCGAAGGCGGCUCACUGGCCCGGUACUGACGCUGAGGCACGAAAGCGUGGGGAGCAAACAGG